UACAGAGGUCUCAAGCGUUGUUCGGAUUCAUUGGGCGUAAAGGGUGCGUAGGCGGCGCGGUAAGUCGGGUGUGAAAUCUCGGAGCUUAACUCCGAAACUGCAUUCGAUACUGCCGUGCUUGAGGACUGGAGAGGUGACUGGAAUUUACGGUGUAGCGGUGAAAUGCGUAGAUAUCGUAAGGAAGACCAGUGGCGAAGGCGGUUCUCUGGACAGUUCCUGACGCUGAGGCACGAAGGUCAGGGUAGCAAACGGG
rnacentral:rRNA from 1 species